rnacentral:rRNA from 1 species
UACGAAGGGGGCUAGCGUUGCUCGGAAUUACUGGGCGUAAAGCGCACGUAGGCGGCUUUCUAAGUCGGGGGUGAAAUCCUGGAGCUCAACUCCAGAACUGCCUUCGAUACUGGAAAGCUCGAGUCCGGGAGAGGUGAGUGGAACUGCGAGUAUAGAGGUGAAAUUCGUAGAUAUUCGCAAGAACACCAGUGGCGAAGGCGGCUCACUGGCCCGGUACUGACGCUGAGGUGCGAAAGCGUGGGGAGCAAACAGG